AUCCUUUCUAUAUGGAAUUGCAAUUUUUUUUAUUUCGCACCACCGACAUCCGGCGCUAUUUACCUUUUCUCUCGCAUAAGGGUAAAAAAUUGACGGAAAAUCGACUGGACCUUCAAAUUAAUUUAACGAACAACGUAAUUGGGUGAACGGUGUAAAAUUCUAAUAAUGCGACGAUUUAUCGGCGGUCUGCUAAACCGAAACUGGUGUGCUCCAAAAAAAAAAGGGGACGGAUGAACGACGAGGCGUCACCGCUGCUGCUGCUGCUGCUCGCGUAACUUGGACGUCCCGCCAGCGCGCGAUCAUACAGCGAGGUAAAACGCUGCAAGGCCAUUAUCGUCUUGUCAUCCUACGACCGGUUAUUCAAUGUCGUCUUACUUAUUAUUAAUAUGAUGUCGCUUCGGGGAAGGCGCAUACACGAUUUACCUAUUCACACCAAUUUUUUCCUUCUCCAUUAAAUAUUUGUAAUAGGAGGUAUAUGAUUCGGCCGCGCCGCGGAGGUGUCUUCUCUCCGCAUACACACGCGCGCCGCUUCCGCAGACGUUUGGUUACGCCCCUUGUGAGUUUGCUAAAUCAAUGCGAUGGAAACGCGCGCGACGCGUACGAAUUUCUCACUCGCGGAAUUAACUCCGCUAUUCGUAUCCGGCGCUCUCGACAUCCUUCGUUUUCGAAUCCCGUAUUAUCCAGUCGAGCAAUAUAGCGAAUAUGACGUGCCGAAUUACUAUCGAUCAAGCUCGAUAUAAUUUUAGAUAAAAUUAUACUUAAUCUCGCACAACCGUUUGCCAAUUGAUAUCUUCAAGUAUUUAGGGUGGUGCGAUGGUUUCGUUUACCCAGCACGAGCCUCGAUGAUCAUUGGAAUCGGUAUUAACAAUGAUAUGCGGGAGCAGGCGGUUCGACGAGCGAGAAUGCGAGAGUACCCAAGUAGAGUAGCAACGACGGAGAUCUCGUAUCAAAUGAAAGAAAAGAGCAACGAGCAACGCGCUAGCCAGUCAGCGUAACCAGCGUAUUGACGGAGAAGGCGAUGCUCUUGCGCGUCGCUGCUCGCGCGCAACCCCCUUCUCGCGAAAUCGUCCAUAAGCGUGACCGGGUGCCGCCGUUCGCCGUCGCCGCCGCCGCUCCGUGCGCGCGGCAGAUAAAUAUAUCGCCUUUAGAACAGUGACCAAUUCGACUAGUCCAUUUUCUCACAUUGUAUCUACUCGCAUAGGCUCGUUGCUGAGCGUUGCUCGAAUACGUAUGCUAAGAGGAAGGGGCGCGCCAAGUGAUUUCGUUAUAGCCGCAGCAGCUCUAUGGUGUUUUUCUGCUAUGAUCGUCUUCGAGACUGGUAACAACGACGACGACGACGACGACUGUUGCUGCCACGAUAACGUGUCAUUAUACCGAAUUCGAAAAGGGUGCCGGUGGUAGUACGUGAAAAUAUAACGGGGGACGGAUAACGAUAAAUUAUGAGGAAUCGAUAUACUCGCCUUUCCAACUUUUUUAUUCGACGAGUCCUCUCUCUUUUACAUAUGCUAUGUCGGCGAGAUAUGGUAUUCCAUGGUUGUUAGUCUAGGGAAUUAUAACGGUGGUCAUCGAUGCGGUUCACGACCCACGACGACGAUUGCGUCCCUUCAAGUUUCAUAGCGCGAUCAAACAAACAUACGCGUUCCAACUUAAUUUUUUUAAAAACUUGUCUCGUUUGGUCCAAUGCCGAGAUGCGAGAAAAAUAAAGAGACUCGUUUUAUGUA